GUAGGUGGCAAGCGUUGUCCGGAAUUAUUGGGCGUAAAGCGCGCGCAGGCGGUUCCUUAAGUCUGAUGUGAAAGCCCACGGCUCAACCGUGGAGGGUCAUUGGAAACUGGAGAACUUGAGUACAGAAGAGGAAAGCGGAAUUCCACGUGUAGCGGUGAAAUGCGUAGAGAUGUGGAGGAACACCAGUGGCGAAGGCGGCUUUCUGGUCUGUAACUGACGCUGAGGCGCGAAAGCGUGGGGAGCAAACAGGAUUAGAUACCCUGGUAGUCCACGCCGUAAACGAUGAGUGCUAAGUGUUAGGGGGUUUCCGCCCCUUAGUGCUGCAGCUAACGCAUUAAGCACUCCGCCUGGGGAGUACGGCCGCAAAGGCUG
rnacentral:rRNA from 1 species